ACUGAUACGGUACCGAGGUUCUGCUUCAAGGAAAGAACCCAUGGAUCUGACAUCGGGAUUAUCGAUCUGGCAUCGAAUUCUAAGGAGCAGCCACUUCUGCUGGGAAGAUACAGUCUGGCACUGUCAACUCCGCUGGGGAUAUAUAGUCUGGCACUGUCAACUCUACUGGGGAGUAUAUGUCUUGAAACAACCGCUUGGGGAAGUACGGUGGUGAGAAACU
rnacentral:lncRNA from 1 species